AGCAUAAGGAAUCAUUAAAAUGGUGUGAAGAAGUGAGUUCCAUGCACAUUGUUCACAGAAGGGCAGCACUCAGAGCAGAAGGGGGUUCUCAUUAAAGAGCUGUAAAGAACAUGCAUAUACUUCAUUGCUAAGGCACAUGUAAAACAACAAGGUGCUUGGUGACAGCCAGCAUUGGUUCACUAAGGGAAAGUCCUGCCUGACCAAUUUGG
rnacentral:lncRNA from 14 species